UUAAAGCCCUAAAUGGCGGCUUCAAUAUCAGUCCCACUGAGCAUGAAAUUCAUUUACUUAAAUAAAAUCUGAAUCUCAGCCCAAACCUGGGAGAUUCAAAACCUGAGAGCGGUCUUACCAAAGACGCCCGUAUGUCUGGUGAAGUCAGUUGGAUGCAAGCAGUUUGUGCUGGUACCAGGGCCCCAGCUACUGAUGAAGUGGCAGGAGUCCACAGAAGCCUACUUCGAAGUUCCCGGGGCUUCCAGGGGAGAUUGACGAGAUUCCUGGGGAGGCGAUUCAUGACAGCUGAGUUCCUUUUGGAGGAUCCGUCUUCAGGCAGAGCACUGCCUUCCUCAUGUACCAUGCAUCAAGCCCUCUCCCCAGCCUGAAGAACACCAUGUUCCUCUUAGCGAUCAUCAGUAACAAGGCGUGCCACUCGAAGAACUACAAAGAUAAGGGUUUGGGGUUUGUGCUGGGGAAAGCUCAUGACACUAGCUGCAGGAAUAGAGGACUGAGCCUCCCAAGUCCUGGAAAGCAGAGGGAGGAUGCCCCGCUCUGAUUUCCUCAGCACCUUUGCAGAGCUCUUGGUCUCCUGCCUGUGCCCUGCAGGCCUGACUCACCUUCCUCUCUGCACGUGAGACUCUGCACACCUCCUAUCGUGUUUAUUGACGCAUGGCAGCCUCAGCCCUCCAUUUCAUGUGACCUCCCAGCUUUGCUCUCUACAACACCUAACCCAGUCAGUUUCUGUGUCCUAAUUCAAAAUUGCUGGGAGAAAAAAAAGUCUGAUUGGCAUUUGAGUUUGAGAACGAAGGCUUGAAAGAGCCAGUUUGAAGAAUGGGAGCAAGGCCUGGCUAGAGCACUGAUCGACAAACUUUUCCUGUAAAGGGCUGGGUAGUAGAUAUUGCAGGCUUUGCAGGCCAUGAAAUCCACGCUGCAUUGUAGUGGCAUGCAAGCUGCCAUAGCCAAUCUGUAAAUGAAUGAGUGUGGCUGGGUCGCAUUAGCAUUUUAUUUCCAAAAAUAGCAGGUGGCCAGAUUUGGCCCAGGGACUAUAAUUUUCCAAUUCCUGAGAUACUAGAAACAGAAGUGUUUUGUUGUUGUUUUAACUAACUCUUUAUUGAAGUACAGCAAACAAAAGUAUACACAUUAUAGCAUUGUAUGAACUAUCACAGAGUGACUACACGCAUGUAACCACCAACUGUGUGAAGAAAACAUUGCCUGCAUCCCAGAAACUAUGUAUGCACCCUUACUAGUCACUAAUCUCACACUCCUCCCCAAAAGUAACUAAAACUCUGAUUUGUAUUGUCAGUGGUUUCUCCUGUUUUGGACUUUAUAUAAAUGAAGUCAUAUUGUAUGUAUUUCUACUUUCUGUCUAACUUCUUUGUAUGAUAUUCUCCCAGUGGAAUUCAUCUGUAUUGUGGUUUGUACCAAUGGUUCAUUUCUUUUUAUUGUUAUUAUAAUAUUUUAUUGCAUUACUAUAAUAGUAUUUAUUUCAUUCUACUGUAGAUGGACAUUUAACAUUGUUUCUAGUUUGGGGCUGCUGCAUGUCUUUGGAUGAAUAUGUGUACACAUUUUUGUUGGAAAUAGAAUUGCUGGUCCAACAUAGAUAGAUAGAUAGGUAGGUAGAUACAUAGAUAGAUAGAUAGAUUUAUUAUUGAAUAUAUAUAACAAAAUGUUCUUAUUGUUCAUCAUAAUUUCCAAAUGACAUUUUUUUUCUAUUUGGUGUGGAAUAACUUUCAUAUCUUCCAUUAAUUUUUUUAGACAUAGUUCUUUUAUUUGAACAUGUUUUUGAUACCUGGUUUAAUGUCUUUGUCUAAUAAGUCCAACAUCUGGGCUUACUCUGGGACAAUUUCUUUUGACUACUUUUUUAUGUUUAUAGGCCAUACUUGCCUGUUCUUUUGUGUGUCUCCUAAUUAUUUGGUUGAAAACUAGACACUUUAAAUAAUAUAUCGACUCUGGAAAUUAGAGUUGUUGCUGUUUUUGUGAUUGCUGUUGUGGUGGUGGUUUAUUUGUUUAGUGAUGUUUCUGGAUUGGUAUUGUAAAGUCUGUAUUCUUUUUUGUGUGCAGCCACUAAAGUAUUUACUUGGUUAGCUUAGUGGUCAGCUAAUGAUUGGACAGAGAAUUCCUUAAAUGCCUUCAACCAAUAAGCCUCCCCUUGCUCAUGGGCUGUUUGUUAGGGUAUGUCUUCAAUGUCCCUGCAAUUCACAACUCCACCUUAGUCUUCACUCCUGCUUGAUCA
rnacentral:lncRNA from 1 species